rnacentral:rRNA from 1 species
CUACGGAGGGGGCUAGCGUUGUUCGGAAUUACUGGGCGUAAAGCGUACGUAGGCGGACUGAUCAGUUGGGGGUGAAAUCCCAGGGCUUAACCCUGGAACUGCCUUCAAUACUGUCAGUCUUGAGAUUGAAAGAGGUGAGUGGAAUUCCUAGUGUAGAGGUGGAAUUCAUAGAUAUUAGGAGGAACACCAGUGGCGAAGGCGGCUCACUGGCUCGAUACUGACGCUGAGGUGCGAAAGCGUGGGGAGCAAACAGAAUUAGAAACCCUAGUAGUCC